rnacentral:rRNA from 1 species
UACAGAGGUCUCAAGCGUUGUUCGGAUUCAUUGGGCGUAAAGGGUGUGUAGGUGGCGCGCUAAGUCGGGUGUGAAAUUUCGGAGCUUAACUCCGAAACUGCAUUCGAUACUGGCGUGCUUGAGGACUGGAGAGGAGACUGGAAUUCAUGGUGUAGCAGUGAAAUGCGUAGAGAUCAUGAGGAAGACCAGUGGCGAAGGCGGCUUCCUGGACAAUUGCUGACGCUCAGGCACGAAAGCGUGGGGAGCAAAAGGG